rnacentral:rRNA from 1 species
GAUGAACGCUGGCGGCGUGCCUAAUACAUGCAAGUCGAGCGAACAGACGAGGAGCUUGCUCCUCUGACGUUAGCGGCGGACGGGUGAGUAACACGUGGAUAACCUACCUAUAAGACUGGGAUAACUUCGGGAAACCGGAGCUAAUACCGGAUAAUAUAUUGAACCGCAUGGUUCAAUAGUGAAAGACGGUUUUGCUGUCACUUAUAGAUGGAUCCGCGCCGCAUUAGCUAGUUGGUAAGGUAACGGCUUACCAAGGCAACGAUGCGUAGCCGACCUGAGAGGGUGAUCGGCCACACUGCAACUGAGACACGGUCCAGACUCCUACGGGAGGCAGCGGUAGGGAAUCUUCCGCAAUGGGCGAAAGCCUGACGGAGCAACGCCGCGUGAGUGAUGAAGGUCUUCGGAUCGUAAAACUCUGUUAUUAGGGAAGAACAAAUGUGUAAGUAACUAUGCACGUCUUGACGGUACCUAAUCAGAAAGCCACGGCUAACUACGUG